rnacentral:rRNA from 1 species
AAACUACAGGUUAAAAACCUAAAUU